rnacentral:sRNA from 1 species
UACCGAUGGCUCACCAUAGGCGCCAAGGC